UACAGAGGGUGCAAGCGUUGUUCGGAAUUACUGGGCGUAAAGGGUGAGUAGACGGUUAUGCAAGUCAGAUGUGAAAUCCCGGGGCUUACCUCCGGAACUGCAUUUGAAACUACAUGGCUUGAGUAUAGUAGAGGCUAGCGGAAUUCCCAGUGUAGAGGUGAAAUUCGUAGAUAUUGGGAGGAACACCAGUGGCGAAGGCGGCUAGCUGGGCUAUUACUGACGCUGAGGUGCGAAAGCGUGGGGAGCAAACAGG
rnacentral:rRNA from 1 species